UGGGUAUAAAGAGAGCAGAGUGCCUGAAGAAUGGCUCCUCUGUGAAUAACACAUCCAACAGCAAUUUGGCUUAUUCUUCACAGAUGGCAGUAUAUUAUGACUUUCCUGAGACAUAAAUAUAUAUAU